UACGGAGGGUGCAAGCGUUGUCCGGAUUUAUUGGGUUUAAAGGGUGCGUAGGCGGCCUUGUAAGUCAGUGGUGAAAGCCUCCAGCUCAACUGGAGAACUGCCAUUGAUACUGCAAGGCUUGAGUACAGACGAGGUUGGCGGAAUUGAUUGUGUAGCGGUGAAAUGCAUAGAUACAAUCAAGAACUCCGAUUGCGUAGGCAGCUAACUAGGCUGUAACUGACGCUGAGGCACGAAAAGCGUGGGGGAGCGAACAGG
rnacentral:rRNA from 1 species